GCGGGCAGCGCGGCGGCGGCGCCUGCAGCCCAGCUCUCCGCCCGACCCUUCGGGCGGCGCCCCACCUGCCCGGCCGCCCUCCGCGUCCCCGGUCGGACACCGCCGCCCUAUUGUUUUUCACUCAUAAGAGUAGAUAAUGUAGUAACAGUCAUGAGGCCUUUCAGUCAUCUCCUUUGAAAGUCUAAAGAUCUGAAGGGGUGUAUCUAAGGCAGCCUUAUAGAAUACACCCACUCUCCUCAGCUUUGAGACUUCAAACAGAGUUCCAAAAAAAAAAAAAAAAAAAGACUCAUUCCAUGACCUAUUAAGAAUUAUGGAAUGUAUUCCUGAAGGUUUGUGCCUCUGGCUCUUGCAGUUAUUUGUAGUUAUUUGCCUUUCCAGAUUUCACUGUUCAGUAAAUCUCUUCUUCUUCUUGUUAGCUAAUAUUCUGUUGUUAGUUAAUAUCGUAUAUAAAACAAAAUAAAAUUCUUAAGUUUUCUAUCCAUUGCUCAAUUAUUAUUAAAUUCUACUGCAUACUCUGCUCCAGGUAAUAUUUUGUCAUGUAAGUUAUGCAUCCUAUAUGUGCCUUUAAGGUAAGUUAGAAUAGUAGUUGGUAUUAUCUUAUAGUUAUUAACAUACUAAGGAGAGAUAACUUAAAAUUUUGUAACCCUUAAAUAUAUGUAGAGUUUUUAAACUGCAUAAUUUCCAGGGAGAAAAAUGAAUUUAGCACUUCAUUGAAAUGUAUUGGCUAUAAAAAUAAUGAGUCUUGUUCUUAGGUACAUUUGUUUUUUACUGUAAUGUAUACCAUUGUGAAAUUUACAAUAAGAUCUCUCUCAUUAUAUGAAUGUAUUUGGAUAUUUUAUUACAGAUUUAUUAAAAGAUAAUAAAGGUGGAUAAAAAUUCCAUUUAUAAAUCAAUACAAACAUAAUAAAUGUUUUGUAAUUUUAACUGUUUUCUGAAGAAUUUCAAACUUGUUCUUUAAAUUCCCAUCAAUAUAAUUUAUAUCAUCUAGUUCCCUCACUUAUAGCUCUUGAACUUUGAUAAAAUACUCCCUUGGACCUUGGGGAACAUUCUUCCUUAGCACCAUCUGAGACUAUUAAGCUGGAGUCUUCCAAAUUUAAAGGAUUACCCUGAGUCACAGCACAUAUGGCCAC
rnacentral:lncRNA from 1 species